UGGCUCAGGACGAACGCUGGCGGCGUGCCUAAUACAUGCAAGUCGAGCGGAAAUUUUAUUGGUGCUUGCACCUUUAAAAUUUUAGCGGCGGACGGGUGAGUAACACGUGGGUAACCUACCUUAUAGAUUGGGAUAACUCCGGGAAACCGGGGCUAAUACCGAAUAAUACUUUUUAACACAUGUUUUGAAGUUGAAAGACGGUCUUGCUGUCACUAUAAGAUGGACCCGCGGCGCAUUAGCUAGUUGGUGAGGUAACGGCUCACCAAGGCAACGAUGCGUAGCCGACCUGAGAGGGUGAUCGGCCACACUGGGACUGAGACACGGCCCAGACUCCUACGGGAGGCAGCAGUAGGGAAUCUUCCACAAUGGACGAAAGUCUGAUGGAGCAACGCCGCGUGAGUGAAGAAGGAUUUCGGUUCGUAAAACUCUGUUGCAAGGGAAGAACAAGUAGCGUAGUAACUGGCGCUACCUUGACGGUACCUUGUUAGAAAGCCACGGCUAACUACGUGCCAGCAGCCGCGGUAAUACGUAGGUGGCAAGCGUUGUCCGGAAUUAUUGGGCGUAAAGCGCGCGCAGGUGGUUCCUUAAGUCUGAUGUGAAAGCCCCCGGCUCAACCGGGGAGGGUCAUUGGAAACUGGGGAACUUGAGUGCAGAAGAGGAUAGUGGAAUUCCAAGUGUAGCGGUGAAAUGCGUAGAGAUUUGGAGGAAC
rnacentral:rRNA from 1 species